rnacentral:tRNA from 1 species
GGCCUAUUACCUCAGUUGGUUAGAGCAUUAUGAUAAUAAUGUGAACGUCGCAAGUUCGAGACCUGCAUAGGCCA